UACAUGCAAGUCGAACGCACUCUCGUUUAGAUUGAAGGAGCUUGCUCCUGAUUGAUAAACAUUUGAGUGAGUGGCGGACGGGUGAGUAACACGUGGGUAACCUGCCCUAAAGUGGGGGAUAACAUUUGGAAACAGAUGCUAAUACCGCAUAAAACCUAACACCGCAUGGUGUAGGGUUGAAAGAUGGUUUCGGCUAUCACUUUAGGAUGGACCCGCGGUGCAUUAGUUAGUUGGUGAGGUAAAGGCUCACCAAGACCGUGAUGCAUAGCCGACCUGAGAGGGUAAUCGGCCACACUGGGACUGAGACACGGCCCAGACUCCUACGGGAGGCAGCAGUAGGGAAUCUUCCACAAUGGACGAAAGUCUGAUGGAGCAACGCCGCGUGAGUGAAGAAGGUUUUCGGAUCGUAAAACUCUGUUGUUGGAGAAGAAUGUAUCUGAUAGUAACUGAUCAGGUAGUGACGGUAUCCAACCAGAAAGCCACGGCUAACUACGUGCCAGCAGCCGCGGUAAUACGUAGGUGGCAAGCGUUGUCCGGAUUUAUUGGGCGUAAAGCGAGCGCAGGCGGUUUCUUAAGUCUGAUGUGAAAGCCUUCGGCUCAACCGAAGAAGUGCAUCGGAAACUGGGAAACUUGAGUGCAGAAGAGGACAGUGGAACUCCAUGUGUAGCGGUGAAAUGCGUAGAUAUAUGGAAGAACACCAGUGGCGAAGGCGGCUGUCUGGUCUGUAACUGACGCUGAGGCUCGAAAGCAUGGGUAGCAAACAGGAUUAGAUACCCUGGUAGUCCAUGCCGUAAACGAUGAGUGCUAGGUGUUGGAGGGUUUCCGCCCUUCAGUGCCGCAGCUAACGCAUUAAGCACUCCGCCUGGGGAGUACGACCGCAAGGUUGA
rnacentral:rRNA from 2 species